rnacentral:tRNA from 2 species
UCCCUGGUGGUCCAAUGGCUAAGACUCUACACUUGCAAUGCAGGGGACCCAGGUUCAAUCCCUGACCAGGGAA